GAUGAACGCUAGCUACAGGCUUAACACAUGCAAGUCGAGGGGAAACGAUGAGAGAGCUUGCUCUCUUAGUCGUCGACCGGCGCACGGGUGAGUAACGCGUAUCCAACCUGCCUCUGACCAAGGGAUAACCCGUCGAAAGUCGGACUAAUACCUUAUGCAGUCGUCGGAAGUCAUCUGAUGACGACGAAAGAUUUCAUCGGUGAGAGAUGGGGAUGCGUCUGAUUAGCUUGUUGGCGGGGUAACGGCCCACCAAGGCGACGAUCAGUAGGGGUUCUGAGAGGAAGGUCCCCCACAUUGGAACUGAGACACGGUCCAAACUCCUACGGGAGGCAGCAGUGAGGAAUAUUGGUCAAUGGGCGUAAGCCUGAACCAGCCAAGUAGCGUGCAGGAUGACGGCCCUAUGGGUUGUAAACUGCCUUUAUGCGGGGAUAAAGUGAGGGACGUGUCCUUCAUUGCAGGUACCGCAUGAAUAAGGACCGGCUAAUUCCGUG
rnacentral:rRNA from 1 species